AGAGUUUGAUCCUGGCUCAGGACGAACGCUGGCGGCGUGCUUAACACAUGCAAGUUGAACGGAGCACAUUAAGUAGCAAUACGAGGUGUGCUUAGUAGCGGACGGGUGAGUAACGCGUGAGUAACCUACCUUUGUGAGGGGGACAACAGCUGGAAACGGCUGCUAAUACCGCAUAAGACCACGACCUCGAGUGGGGUUGAGGUAAAAGAUUUAUUGCACAAAGAUGGACUCGCGUCCCAUUAGCUAGUUGGUGAGGUAACGGCCCACCAAGGCGACGAUGGGUAGCCGACCUGAGAGGGUGAUCGGCCACACUGGAACUGAGACACGGUCCAGACUCCUACGGGAGGCAGCAGUGGGGAAUAUUGGGCAAUGGGCGAAAGCCUGACCCAGCAACGCCGCGUGAGGGAAGAAGGUCUUCGGAUUGUAAACCUCUGUCCUUGGGGACGAAAAAAAUGACGGUACCCAAGGAGGAAGCUCCGGCUAACUACGUGCCAGCAGCCGCGGUAAUACGUAGGGGGCGAGCGUUGUCCGGAUUUACUGGGCGUAAAGGGUGCGUAGGCGGUAUUUUAAGUCAGAUGUGAAAUAUCCGAGCUUAACUCGGAGGGUGCAUUUGAAACUGGGAUACUUGAGUGCAGGAGAGGAAAGCGGAAUUCCUAGUGUAGCGGUGAAAUGCGUAGAUAUUAGGAGGAACACCAGUGGCGAAGGCGACUUUCUGGACUGUAACUGACGCUGAGGCACGAAAGCGUGGGGAGCAAACAGGAUUAGAUACCCUGGUAGUCCACGCUGUAAACGAUGGAUACUAGGUGUAGGGAGCGAUAGCUCUCUGUGCCGCAGCUAACGCAAUAAGUAUCCCGCCUGGGGAGUACGAUCGCAAGGUUGAAACUCAAAGGAAUUGACGGGGGCCCGCACAAGCAGCGGAGCAUGUGGUUUAAUUCGAAGCAACGCGAAGAACCUUACCAAGGCUUGACAUCCUCUGACCGCCAUAGAAAAGACAUGUUCCCUUCGGGGCAGAGAGACAGGUGGUGCAUGGUUGUCGUCAGCUCGUGUCGUGAGAUGUUGGGUUAAGUCCCGCAACGAGCGCAACCCUUAUCAUUAGUUGCCAGCACGUAACGGUGGGAACUCUAAUGAGACUGCCGGGGAUAACUCGGAGGAAGGUGGGGACGACGUCAAAUCAUCAUGCCCCUUAUGUCUUGGGCUACACACGUGCUACAAUGGCCGGUACAAAGGGCUGCGAAACCGUAAGGUGAAGCGAAUCCCAUAAAGCCGGUCUCAGUUCGGAUCGUGGGCUGCANNNNNNNNNNNNNNNNNNNAGUUGCUAGUAAUCGCGAAUCAGCAUGUCGCGGUGAAUGCGUUCCCGGGUCUUGUACACACCGCCCGUCACACCAUGGGAGUUGGGAGCGCCCGAAGCCAGUGAGCUAACCGCAAGGAGGCAGCUGUCGAAGGCGAGAUCAAUGACUGGGGUGAAGUCGUAACAAGGU
rnacentral:rRNA from 1 species